ensembl:lncRNA
AAGCAUGUGUUUCUCACAGAUGACUUAAGAGAAUAUUUUCCUCUGUAGCAGUAUGCAAAGACAAGUUCUUGUUCCAGGAAUAUUCUCUGUCUUCAGAAAUACACAGAACAAGAUUCAGAGGAGUAAGGCCAUUGGAGCCUCGACAGUCAAGGAGGAAAUGAGUGGAAAUAUUCAUUCCCAGCACAUGCACAUUGCCAUUGCUCCUCAGCACUGCAGUGCAAUGACACAGUCCAUCUUUAUGGGAGCCAUUCCUAUUGUCUUUAUCAAGAUUACCUGUUACUCCAGCUGCAUAGUAUGCAUCGUCUUUUAGCCCAAAGCAAGUAACAGUACUGUAUGCGUGACAUCCUGACUGCUGACUUAAUUAUGAAGAAAACUGGGGGACCGUGAUAUUAUAAUAUUUCAUUGGGAAAACUGAAUGGGUGCCAGUGUGCAAUGGUGGUACAGAAGGAAGUAUCAUCAGUGAUCACAGCAGUGCCUGUCCAUUUCAAGGAAUUUGCAAGAAAACAGGUGGAAGAAGGCACUGAAUGAAACUGACUGACAUUAUCUUCUGGUCUCAAAAGAGGCGUCUGGUUUUCACCAAUACUUCCCACAGCGGCUUAGGAGACAAGUUAUAUGUAUGGGCAUGGGCUCAAAUACAUGCAGAAAGGGCUUGACCUGAUACUGCUUCAAGUGCAAGACAAUAUAAAAGGUAUUUUUCUAUUUGCUGUUGCUGCUGUUUCAAGAAUGUUAAAAAACAAACAAACAAACAAACAAACAAACAAAACCAACCCUUUAAAGACUGGUGUUAUAUUCCUAUCGUUUCUAACAAUCUGAGAAUCUUGUAUUUGUAGUGAAAACAGUUCUACUUACUGUCUGAUUAGAAACUUGAUAACCUCUAUAAAUGCUACAAACUUCAAUGCCUGUUUCCACAUUUUAAAGCAAACAUGCACUGUGAAAAGUGGACUGAAAAUUCCAUUCAAGGGAAAUUCUAUUUCCCAUUUUGAUUAGACAGUGCUGGAAUCAGAACAUAUAAUGUUAUUUUCUGGCACAC